CCUACGGGUGGCAGCAGUGGAGGAUCUUGCACAAUGGGGGAAACCCUGAUGCUGCGACGCCGCGUGGGUGAAGGAGGAUUUCGGUAUGUAAAGCUCUAGCAGCAGGGGAGAAAAUGACAGUAACUGAACAAGAAGCCGCGGCUAACUAGGUCCCAGCAGCCGCGGUAAUACGGAGGGAGCAAGCGUUAUCCGGAUUCACUGGGUGUAAAGGGAGCGUAGACGGUUACGUAAGUGGGGGGUGAAAGUCCGGGGCCCAACCCCGGGACUGCAUUGGAAAAUGUGUAACUGGAGUACAGGAGGGGCAGGCGGAAGUCUCGGUGUAGCAGUGAAAUGCGUAGAUAUCAGGAGGAACACCGGCGGCGAAGGCGGCCUGCUGGACUGAAACUGACGUUGAGGCUCGAAGGCGUGGGGAGCAAACGGGAUUAGAUACCCGUGUAGUC
rnacentral:rRNA from 1 species